GACGUAGGGCGCGAGCGUUGUCCGGAUUUAUUGGGCGUAAAGAGCUCGUAGGCGGCUUGUCGCGUCGUCCGUGAAAACCCACAGCUCAACUGUGGGCUUGCGGUCGAUACGGGCAGGCUAGAGUUCGGUAGGGGAGACUGGAAUUCCUGGUGUAGCGGUGAAAUGCGCAGAUAUCAGGAGGAACACCGGUGGCGAAGGCGGGGUCUCUGGGCCGAUACUGACGCUGAGGAGCGAAAGCGUGGGGGAGCGAACAGG
rnacentral:rRNA from 1 species